CUCAGACAAAUCUGUUUUUGCCUAAAGUCUGAGAAGACCUAUGUUGGGAGAUAACAGCAUUUGAGGACGUGCUUUAGAAGGUGACAGUUUGAAGUCAUGUUUUCAGCCUUGUUUCACUGAAGAAGAAGAUCUACCUAUUUUGAGCUUUAAGAAGUUUUCUCUCCAUGGAUACGUUUCUUACACUGAGUCCUAUUCUAAAUGCUUACUACAUACUAAUGCAUUUAAUGGUCAUAAAGGAUCCAAAGGAUAUGACCACAAAGAACAGUGGAGAAAAAAGCUUUCGAUGGGCGGUUGUAGUUUAUCAUCAAAAUUCUGGCUUGGAUUUGCCUCCUCAAACAAACUGAGCAAGACCUACAAGGCUCUGGGCAACCAGACACAUUUGAUCUCAGCUGCUGUGCUUAGGUAGAGGUGCUGGUCAGAGUUGAGUUGUCUCCUGUGCAAGUACAGUGGAGACGUGGACUUAGAAUGUUUGCCCGUGGAUCCAUGUGAGGCAAGUAAGAAAAUAUAUUUUAGUACCUUUAUAUCUGAGGCACAAAAGAUUAGAUGGUAAGAAGACAUGUUUCUUCCUAGAAACUAUAGAUUUUGCAACCUAAUUUUGGAAGCAACAUAAACGUUAACAUCUCAAAGAUUGGUCCACAUUUUAAGGUUGGUGAGAAUGAAGGCACAGGAGCAAUUGAAGGUUGUUUGCCUUUUGUUUCACAGUGGAAUGCAAGGGUUAUAUGUAAUUUUAAGAAUAGAAAUAAGUAAUGUGGCUUCCCUGGUUGCUCGGUUUCACAGAGGCAAGCCUGAGACAAAGCUUCACCUCUGCUGCUGUGGGGAGGACAGCUUUGAGGGUGAAGGAGGUAACUGUUGCUCUAUCUAGACACAAAAUGAUGGCCAUCUCUACAAACUCUCUAACCAUGGAGGUGUAAAGAAAGAAUAUUGAACGCAUAUAUAUUGAAGAUAAACAAUGGGAUUUGCAGAAGUUUGUUACGUAAGGGAAAGGAAGAAAGCAGGGGCACCUCCCACAUUUCUGGGUUGACAUACUUGGUGGGUGGGUGGUGGCUCCAACUGCACAGAUAAUGAGGAUUGAGUUGUGAGUUCGGGAAAGAGCAUCGUGAGUUCCAUUUGGAUAUUUUAAAUUAAGGUAUCUAGGAGAUAGUCAAUUGCAGGUGCAAAGUAAGUGGCUGAAUAUAUGAGUGUAGGCCUCAGAUGAGUUGAUAUGAUUGUGAUAAAAUUAUGAGAAUCAUUACAAGUUGUAGAUGUUUCACAUCAUUUAGAGACUGAACAUAGAAGGAAAAAAAAGAGCUCAGAAUUGCUCCAAGAGAAACUUCACUCUGUGAGGGAGAAAAACAUGAGGGCACUAGCAAAUGAAACAAGAAAGUAACCAGUAAGAAGAAAAAAAUAACGGGAAAGAAUGGCAUUAUGGAAGUCAAGAGAAAGAAGCGAUUGGUGGUAUCGGCAUCUCUAGAAAGUUGAAUAAAAGCAGAGACAAGCAUUCACUGUUUUGAGAGAUAAAAAUAUAUCACCUGUGAUUGUGCAAUUGUCAUUUUCAGUGCUUUGCUACAAUGUGUGAUGAAAACUAUACUCAUGACAGAUUCCUAUAAUGAGAGAAAAAAAAAAGAAACAGGCAAGGCAAGACUUCUACACACAAGAAGAAGGUGAAGGUAUCAAGUAAUAAGCUAUAACAUCUACUUCCUCAGAGAGGGCUUGUGAGAUCACUCAGACAAGCUCCAUCACUACUGCGACCUUUCUGGCAAAUCAUUUAAACUCUCUGAAUCAACUUUUCUCCCAGAUGUGAAAUGAAGACAAGGAAAGUUAAUUUUCCAUUGACAUCAUUCAGGUCUCUUACCAACUAUGAUGCAGUAAGCGUCCUUAUACAAACCUCUUUGUGCACAAAUUAACGUUUAUGGAGGGUGGUUUCCUACAUACAGAAUUACCAUAUCCAAAGACAUACUGGUUUCUUUAUUCUGGUGUAAGGACAACUGCCCCAUCUUUCUGACUCAAGCUCAUGCACUCAUGGCUCUUGUAUCUGACUGCAGAGAGGAUGUCCUACCAAUGCAAACUGACACCAAGCAUAGAGUGACCUUGUCUGUACCACGGAACCUACAACAGUCCUGUUCAGAAUCAUUGAGUGAGUAAAUGUAAAUGAGCCGCAAUGUUCCUUCUGCAAUUUUCCAACAGUCAGUCUUAUUUGCAACAACAUCAACUCUACUUAGGAGAAGGUUGCUUUUCCAUGGCAUUUGCAAUUAUUUCUGCACACAGGAAGAGCAUCUCUGUGUGUGCAGGGCAGCCAUGUAGAUUCUAUUCAGUACAUCCUAUGCUGCAAGUAAAAUAAAAUUAUUUCUCACUCUAACCUUGGAAAGCAGAUCUUGGUAAUUCAAAGUCGGCGCCACGAUACUUCCAUGAACACUGGUGAACAGCCCAAGAUUUAUAGUUUCAUCAUGUCAUGCUCAGACUCAUGGAAACUUCAUUUUAGUUAUUUAGAUAAGGAAAACAAAAUUAUUAAUAGCAUUAAUCCAAGAGAAUGAACUGAAUAGUCCCAGAUGAUACAAGAAGCCUAGUAUUUGCUGUUGCAGAAAACAACCAGCAUGGGUUUUGGGAUUUAUAGAGAAAUAUGUUAUGCCUAUAAAUAAUUCCAUAUCAAAAUAACAUAUUCAUAUUUUCACAGACAUAUAUUUUUGUAUAACAACUUACUUGCUUUUAUAAUAUUAGAUCCCCACCUUCAGAUUCUGUGUUAGCAAUCAUAACAUUUGUGCUGUUAGGAUUUGUCUGGAAUCAGUAUUGCCUUUUGCUACAAUGAAACAGGUUCUUGUUGAUUUUCACUAAAAAUAUUGUCCUCCUGUAGAUUGAAAUAUCUUGUCUCUUAGCUUACCACUUCUACUUACUACUUAUGCUUCUGGCUUCACAGGGAGUGUUCCCUGAGUUAUAGUUCAGCAAAUUGCUGUUCACAAAAAUGAAAUCACUAAAGUAAAAAAUGCUUUUCAAAAAAGGAUUGUGGUGGAAAAUUGUGAUGGAAAAGCUGGAGACAAAAUGGUUUAGCAAACACUGUUAUCAUCCUCCUUGUAUUUUGUGUUUUACUUUAAGAAAUGCUUCAUAGAAAAUUGCCCCUCCUUUUCCUUUUUUCCGCAUGUUCACUCUUAGUCCCUAUGCCUCCAAUUACCCAUCAGUAAAUUACCAGAAAUUAAUUUAUAUUAGGAAAUGUUUAUUAUUUUUCCAUUUCUCUUCUUUUCCUCCUCUUCUUUAUUUCUUUUUAAAAAUGUAUUUAUUUGAGAAAGAGAAAGGGAGAGUGCAUGUA